rnacentral:tRNA from 2 species
GCCAACGUGGUGGAAUAGGUAGACACGUCGCCGCAGCGAUCCCGAGUGGAAUGCUUGGGUGCAGGUUCAAUCCCUGCCGUUGGCC